UGGCGUCAGCUCGUGUCGUGAGAUGUUGGGUUAAGUCCCGUAACGAGCGCAACCCUUGUCCUUAGUUACCAGCACGUAAUGGUGGGCACUCUAAGGAGACUGCCGGUGACAAACCGGAGGAAGGUGGGGAUGACGUCAAGUCAUCAUGGCCCUUACGGCCUGGGCUACACACGUGCUACAAUGGUCGGUACAAAGGGUUGCCAAGCCGCGAGGUGGAGCUAAUCCCAUAAAACCGAUCGUAGUCCGGAUCGCAGUCUGCAACUCGACUGCGUGAAGUCGGAAUCGCUAGUAAUCGUGAAUCAGAAUGUCGCGGUGAAUACGUUCCCGGG
rnacentral:rRNA from 2 species